AGGCUUCUCAUCUGGACUUUGGAUGCUGAUCGGGCUUUGGGUGUGAGAAUAGGGAAGGAACAAGAAGACAAGAGGACACAAAAUGAGGAGGUCCAGAAGCCUGGGCAGAAUUUCUCCCUCCAUUUAAAGCAGAAGUAGGAGCUGAGCACUGAUGGCAUAGUGGGAGUUGGAAGAGAGGACAUGAGCGUGAUUAGUAACUAAUGACUCGAGAAUAUUUGCAUCGAGACAGCCGGCAGAUCGGUGGUUCCCUUUACCGGCUCCUUAGACCAAACGCAUCGUGCCUGGCCCUGGGGGACCCGCUUGGCCACCUGCCCAGCCAUCCUCACGUCUCACCCUUUCCUUCUGGCUCAUCAGGUGAUUCUGGCCCAAGCACCUUUCGAGUAAGUUACUUUGAAAACGGAACUAAUUCCCUCGUUCUAAUGGUGAAGUCUACUCUGACGUGUUAGAUAAGCCGCUUCUAGAAUUUUCCUUUUGGUGGAGGUACUCCACUGUUACAACUUCUGUUCCCCUUAAGAACCCAGCCCCCAAUCCCAAUCGUUUAAAUUCGCCUUCCAACUUUCUGCUCCAUUUGUAAAUGUAUAUCCCAAGAACGAUGGCUCCCCCUGCCCUGAAAAAAGUCUGCCAUCCCUACUGGAAUGAAAAGAGUAGCAGAAAAGAUGGGACUUACAAGAUACACGAUGGCCUCUAAGGAUCCAGUUACCAUCCCUUUCCUUUUGGCCUGUUGCCUUUGUGUGUGUGCAUAUGGGCGUGUGCAUGCUAUGUGUGUGUUUUGACUGAAAUCUUGAGACAUUUCUUUGGCUAUCAGACUUCUGAGAGAAAUUGCUUUGCACAGAAGCAUAACAUUGAUGUAAGUAUUGAACCAAAUGUGCAGUUUAUGUUUAUAUUACAAAAUUAGUUUUGGUCAGCUCUCCAUGUACGUGGCCAACAGACUGAGAAAAAUCCCAAACUCUGGUGUGGACAGUGAGUACAAUUACAGCUUCUGCCAGUGUUGACAGUUCAUCGAGCAAAGCCCUAGAUAUUUUGGAGUCUCUCCUGCAUUUUGCUGGGAUAUGAGUGGAAAAAACACCGUUCCCACUCGGUGGCCCCCUUGCAUACCCUGGAGGCCGCACCCGAGGGAGAUGGAGAAAUGGAGGAAGAAUGAGAAAUGCGAGCUCCAUAUUCUUUUCUCAAACCCACAAGUCAUAGUGAGAAGAAAGCAAUGGAUGCUUUGGCACACGAUCCAGGAUGCCCCUUCCCCCCUCAAACAAAACCAAGACAAAGAAAAAAGAACCCCCCACCCCAAAUGAAAACCAACAGUGAGCCUUAGAGGAUGGCUUCAGCAAUGACACCCACCUCACAGGUGGGGACAGAGAUGCGUGAGACAGGAGAAAUCAGGCUUCUUAAUUUUCCUUUACAUACAAAUGUAAAAAUUCGUAACACAACUUUGCACUCAGAGAAGAGUAGACCAACGAUCGUGUUUGCAAUGCCAUGUUUCUGACUUUGGUUAAUAGGGUUUCAGAGUGAAUCAGCACUUAGAACCUGAAAGAAUGCAGUUCCUCCUCCAGGUGGCAGGCUUGUAUUUGCU